CCUACGGGGCGCAGCAGUGGGGAAUAUUGCACAAUGGGGGGAACCCUGAUGCAGCGACGCCGCGUGGGUGAAGGAGUAUUUCGGUAUGUAAAGCCCUAUCAGCAGGGAAGAACAAUGACGGUACCUGACUAAGAAGCACCGGCUAAAUACGUGCCAGCAGCCGCGGUAAUACGUAUGGUGCAAGCGUUAUCCGGAUUUACUGGGUGUAAAGGGCGUGCAGCCGGGAGUGCAAGUCAGAUGUGAAAUCCCGCGGCUCAACCGCGGAACUGCAUUUGAAACUGUGCUUCUUGAGUGCUGGAGAGGCA
rnacentral:rRNA from 1 species